UACAGAGACUGCAAGCGUUAUUCGGAUUCACUGGGCGUAAGGGGUGCGCAGGCGGCCGUGUGUGUAAGGUGUGAAAUCCCGAGGCUCAACCUCGGAACUGCGCCUUAAACUACAUGGCUAGAGUAUUGGAGAGGGUAACGGAAUUCACGGUGGAGCAGUGAAAUGCGUAGAGAGCGUGAGGAACAACAGAGGCGAAGGCGGUUACCUGGACAAUUACUGACGCUCAGGCACGAAAGCAUGGGGAGCAAAAGGG
rnacentral:rRNA from 1 species